AGAGUUUGAUCCUGGCUCAGAACGAACGCUGGCGGCAGGCUUAACACAUGCAAGUCGAACGCCCGAGCAAUCGGGAGUGGCAGACGGGUGAGUAACACGUGGGAACAUACCCUUCGGUUCGGAACAACGUUUGGAAACGAACGCUAAUACCGGAUACGGCUUGAGGGCGAAAGAUUCAUCGCCGAAGGAUUGGCCCGCGUUCGAAUUAGCUAGAUGGCGGGGUAACGGCCCACCAUGGCGACGAUCGAUAGCUGGUCUGAGAGGAUGGCCAGCCACAUUGGGACUGAGACACGGCCCAAACUCCUACGGGAGGCAGCAGUGGGGAAUAUUGGACAAUGGGCGCAAGCCUGAUCCAGCCAUGCCGCGUGAGUGAUGACGGCCUUAGGGUAGUACAGCUCUUUCGCACGCGACGAUAAUGACGGUAGCGUGAGAAGAAG
rnacentral:rRNA from 1 species